UACGUAGGGUCCGAGCGUUGUCCGGAAUACUGGGCGUAAAGCGCACGCAGGUGGCUGAGUCAGUCGAUUGUGAAAGCCCUGGGCUUAACCUGGGAAUUGCAGUCGAUACUACUCAGCUAGAGUAUGGGAGAGGGUAGUGGAAUUCCCGGUGUAGCGGUGAAAUGCGUAGAGAUGUGGAGGAACACCGAUGGCGAAGGCGACACGCUGGGCCGUACCUGACACUGAUACGCGACAGCAUGGGGAGCGAACGGG
rnacentral:rRNA from 1 species